GACGAACGCUGGCGGCGUGCUUAACACAUGCAAGUCGAACGGCAAGGCCCUGCUUGUGUGGGGUGCUCGAGUGGCGAACGGGUGAGUAACACGUGAGUAACCUGCCCUUGACUUUGGGAUAACUUCAGGAAACUGGGGCUAAUACCGGAUAGGAGCUCCUGCUGCAUGGUGGGGGUGGGAAAGUUUCGGCGGUUGGGGAUGGACGCGCGGCUUAUCAGCUAGUUGGUGGGGUAGUGGCUUACCAAGGCUUUGACGGGUAGCCGGCCUGAGAGGGUGACCGGCGUCAUGGGGACUGAGGUACGGCCCAGACUCCUACGGGAGGCAGCAGUGGGGAAUAUUGCACAAUGGGAGGGAGUCUGAUGAAGAAACGCCGCGUGCGGGAUGACGGCCUUCGGGUUGUAAACCGCUUUAGCCUGUGACGAAGCGUGAGUGACGGUAAUGGGUAAAGAAGCACCGGCUAACUACGUG
rnacentral:rRNA from 1 species